UACGAAGGGGGCUAGCGUUGCUCGGAAUCACUGGGCGUAAAGCGCACGUAGGCGGAUUGCUAAGUCAGGGGUGAAAUCCUGGAGCUCAACUCCAGAACUGCCUUUGAUACUGAAGAUCUUGAGUUCGGGAGAGGUGAGUGGAACUGCGAGUGUAGAGGUGAAAUUCGUAGAUAUUCGCAAGAACACCAGUGGCGAAGGCGGGUCUCUGGACAGUUCCUGACGCUGAGGCACGAAGGCCAGGGGAGCAAACGGG
rnacentral:rRNA from 1 species